rnacentral:rRNA from 1 species
UGGGAGCUCUCCCAUAUGGUCGACCUGCAGGCGGCGCGAAUUCACUAGUGAUUAGAGUUUGAUCAUGGCUCAGAUUGAACGCUGGCGGCAGGCCUAACACAUGCAAGUCGAGCGGUAGAGAGGUGCUGCACCUCUUGAGAGCGGCGGACGGGUGAGUAAUGCCUAGGAAUCUGCCUGGUAGUGGGGGAUAACGCUCGGAAACGGACGCUAAUACCGCAUACGUCCUACGGGAGAAAGCAGGGGACCUUCGGGCCUUGCGCUAUCAGAUGAGCCUAGGUCGGAUUAGCUAGUUGGUGGGGUAAUGGCUCACCAAGGCGACGAUCCGUAACUGGUCUGAGAGGAUGAUCAGUCACACUGGAACUGAGACACGGUCCAGACUCCUACGGGAGGCAGCAGUGGGGAAUAUUGGACAAUGGGCGAAAGCCUGAUCCAGCCAUGCCGCGUGUGUGAAGAAGGUCUUCGGAUUGUAAAGCACUUUAAGUUGGGAGGAAGGACAUUAACCUAAUACGGUAGUGUUUUG